rnacentral:rRNA from 1 species
GACGAACGCUGGCGGCGUGCUUAACACAUGCAAGUCGAGCGGAAAGGCCCUUUCGGGGGUACUCGAGCGGCGAACGGGUGAGUAACACGUGAGUAAUCUGCCCUUGGCUUUGGGAUAACCACCGGAAACGGUGGCUAAUACCGGAUAUGACGGGCUCCGGCAUCGGGGUUCGUGGAAAGUUUUUUCGGCCGAGGGAUGUGCUCGCGGCCUAUCAGCUUGUUGGUGGGGUAAUGGCCUACCAAGGCUUCGACGGGUAGCCGGCCUGAGAGGGUGACCGGCCACACUGGGACUGAGACACGGCCCAGACUCCGUACGGGAGGCAGCAGUGGGGAAUAUUGGACAAUGGGCGGAAGCCUGAUCCAGCAACGCCGCGUGAGGGAUGACGGCCU